AUUGAACGCUGGCGGCAGGCCUAACACAUGCAAGUCGAACGAGUGGCGGACGGGUGAGUAAUGUCUGGGAAACUGCCUGAUGGAGGGGGAUAACUACUGGAAACGGUAGCUAAUACCGCAUACCAUCGGAUGUGCCCAGAUGGGAAUAGCUAGUAGGUGGGGUAACGGCUCACCUAGGCGACGAUCCCGAGCUGGUCUGAGAGGAUGACCAGGCGCUCUGGAACGGAUGCACAGUCCAAAAUCCUGCGGGAGGCAGCAUUGGGGAAUAUUGCACAAUGGGCGCAAGCCUGAUGCAGCCGUGCCGCGUGUUUGAAGAAGGCCUUCGGGUUGUAAAGUACUUUCAGCGGGGAGGCGUUACCCGCAGAAGAAGCACCGGCUAACUCCGUGCCAGCAGCCGCGGUAAUUC
rnacentral:rRNA from 1 species